rnacentral:tRNA from 1 species
GGAUUGUGGCUCAGCGGUAGAGUGCUUGCCUAGCACAUGUGAGGCCCUGGGUUCAAUCCCCAGUACCA